UCCUAUGCUCAGGAUACCGCCCAGUGUCUCAGUCAACUUCCUGAUGCCUUCAAGAUGUAGGACUCUCAGUUAAUACUCCAGCGCGAUAUCUGCCUGCUGCUGUCAUGCUCACCGCCAUGAUGAUAACAAACUGAACCUCUGAAACUUGUUUGCCAACAUGCAUAUAUGAUCCUGAUGCCCAUGGAACUUCGAAGGUGGUAUCAGCUCCCCUGGAUCUGGAGUUACAGAUGGUUGUGAACCACUAUGUGAGUACUGGGAACUAAACCUGGGUCUGACCCCAAAACAACCAGUGCUCUGAACUACCGUGCCAUCUCUCCAGCCUCCAGACUAUAGCAAGACACAUCUUCUGACAGCACAAUCUACUUCAGAAAAGAUGAUGGGCAUUGAGGAACCUCCAUAUGGAGUUUGCUUUUUUAAUGCCAUUUGGACAAAAAUCUGCCCUUGCCUCAAUUGCUGACAGUAUACUAUCCAAACUGGACCAGCAAGACGCAAAAGAAAGCGACUGCCAAACUUUGAAAAGACAAAGAAAGACAAUCCUUCAAAAUUUCCUGCUUCAGAGCUAAGUCUAUCAGAUAUUCUAGGCCUA